CGUAGAGAUAGGGUCCGUGUAAGGGGUCUGCACAGGUGGUGCAUGGCUGUCGUCAGCUCGUGUCGUGAGAUGUUGGGUUAAGUCACGCAACGAGCGCAACCCUCGUUCUAUGUUGCCAGCGAGUAAUGUCGGGGACUCAUAGGAGACUGCCGGGGUCAACUCGGAGGAAGGUGGGGACGACGUCAAAUCAUCAUGCCCCUUAUGUCUUGGGCUUCACGCAUGCUACAAUGGCCGGUACAAUGGGUUGCGAUACUGUGAGGUGGAGCUAAUCCCAAAAAGCCGGUCUCAGUUCGGAUUGGGGUCUGCAACUCGACCCCAUGAAGUCGGAGUCGCUAGUAAUCGCAGAUCAGCAACGCUGCGGUGAAUACGUUCCCGGGUCUUGCACACACCGCCCGU
rnacentral:rRNA from 1 species